UUGAAUCAUGACAUGUUUUAGGUCUGUUUGGCUUGGCUUGUUGGAGCUAUCUACUGGCAUAAGCAUGACCACUUGUCAGAUUUUUGGGGAGCUCAUGGAAACAAACACAAUUGCAGUUGCUAGAAACUCUUCGGGCAAAAGAUUACGGAGGUUCCGAAGAAUUGCUCCUUGGAGAACUGCAGUUUGCAUUUAUUGCCUUUUUGAUGGGUCAGUCGCUAGAAGCGUUUCUGCAGUGGAAAUCUUUGGAUAGCCUUCUGUUUGGCUGCACUGAAGCAGACCUAGCUAGGUUAUGAUUCAUAUGGAUACAAGGUACUUAUUGAUUAUGCCUUUCCACAAGCGAACUCGGCUAUUCACCAAGGAUUUCUUUUCAUUGGUGCUAGAUGGAUCAGUUGUUGAUGGAGAUAUUCUAAAAUGGGCCUAUCUGUUUUGGAGGGACACUUCAAAAGGGAUUCUACUUGUUUAUAUGUUAGUACUAUAAACUACUUACUAGUGUGCAAAAAUACCAAUUUUGUAAGUGAGACUUGGGAUCACAUGAGAGUUUUGGUGCCUAUUUGAAGGAUCCGCGGAUCUUGUGUAGUCAUAUAAUCAUACCUUUUUUUUUUCGUGUUCGAUCGUAAAAAGGACGCUUUCUCUCUCCCAGCCCGCCCUUCUUAAAAGACAGAUGCCGAGAGAAACAGUUGAAAAGAUUAGAGGGACUAAAAAUAUAAAAAAAAAAUGUAGGGAGUAUUUACCGAAACUCACUAAAAUGUAGGAACUAAUUAAAAACAUAUUUAACCUAAGUAUUAAUUUUGUACUGAUUAAGUGCUAGCUGGCCCUCAAAUUUGACAUUGAGAGAUGAGAUCACACGAGACUUUGGGUGCAUUUUUAAGUGUCAAAGCAAGUAAGUGUGAUAUUAUUAAUGUAGUGGACUUUGGUGGUAUUCUAGUAUAUCAUAUCUAAAUAUUUUUUUGCAUUGUUAUGUUAUGGCUUAUCAUGGUUGACCUCAAACAU